AAUCCAUGUUGAGGACAUAUUCGCAGGUGUUCCUUGAACCUUUCCCAUGUCUCAAAUAGAGACUUCAAUUCCAUUUGCACGAAGGAAGAAAUUUCAUUCCUAAGCUU